rnacentral:misc_RNA from 1 species
AACGCACAUUGCGCCCCCUGGUAUUCCGGGGGGCAUGCCUGUCCGAGCGUCAUUGCAAACCCUCAAGCCCGGCUUGUGUGAUGGGUCGCAGCGUCCCCGAUCUCCAGGGGACGGGCCCGAAAUGCAGUGGCGGCGUCGCGGUCAUCCGAUCAGCCGAAGCGUAUGGGGACUCUCCGUCAGACGCUCAGCGGCACGGACCGACGCCCGCCUAAGGGACUGCCCCUAACAAGGCGUCUUGUAUCUUUCAAGGUUUGACCUCGGAUCAGGUAGGGAUACCCGCUGAACUUAA